rnacentral:lncRNA from 1 species
AUUUUUAGGAAUGUUGUCAAAUUUGGGAAAGCAUCUAUCAAUUUUCCCAUAUGACCUCUUAAAAUUUCAGAGCAUUUCACAUUUUUAUAUGCAGUUGCUAAUCUUAAAUGCUCUUUGAAUUGACAGGACUCGUGAGCCACUUUUUCCAUGAACCUCCUCAUUCUAAGGACGAAACGUUAUAUUUCCAAGAUUCUUCCAUGUUGUUUUGUGUUGCUGGUAGAACUGCUUACUAUGAUUAGAAACACUUAGAAACUCCAGGAAAAACUAAAAUGAAUCCAAGGAAGAAAACACAAUCCUCACAAUCACGAGCUCUGCCUGAAUGAGAUUCCCAGUAGGGCCAGCACCCCUUCUUCCAGCUCUGCUCCCUCCUGGUGUAGAACACACAUGAGAUUAUCCCAGCCUACUUACUGCCAGAGGCAAAGGAAUUUGUCCACGACUCCUUAUCUGUCGUUAGGUCAUGGGUCAGCCUCCAGACCAGAGUGCUCCUGACAGUGGCUGAUUGACUGUUCUAAGGAUGGCAUCUGUCCCUUCAGGGCCAGAGAAUGUUUGGACUUGGGACUGAGAGGUCUCUGCUCUGGCAGCUGAAGACGUAAGAUGGAUAGCCCGGGGUGGAAGUCCCAUGCUUCUCACUGUGUGGAGCAGAGGAGAGGCGGAAGGUGGUCUGCAGAGGAAGAGCAGAACACUCAAGGAGAAGUGGGACCCGAGUCAGGGUGCUA